CCUACGGGGGGCUGCAGUGGGGAAUUUUGGACAAUGGGCGCAAGCCUGAUCCAGCCAUGCCGCGUGCAGGAUGAAGGCCUUCGGGUUGUAAACUGCUUUUGUAUGGAACGAAAAGCCCCCUUCUAAUAAAGGGGGGAGAUGACGGUACCGUAAGAAUAAGCACCGGCUAACUACGUGCCAGCAGCCGCGGUAAUACGUAGGGUGCAAGCGUUAAUCGGGAUUACUGGGCGGAAUGCGUAAGACGGAGGUGAAAUCCCCGGGCUCAACCUGGGAACUGCCUUUGUGACUGCAUAGCGUGAGUGCGGCAGAGGGGGAUGGAAUUCCGCGUGUAGCAGUGAAAUGCGUAGAUAUGCGGAGGAACACCGAUGGCGAAGGCAAUCCCCUGGGCCUGCACUGACGCUCAUGCACGAAAGCGUGGGGAGCAAACAGGAUUAGAUACCCGUGUAGUC
rnacentral:rRNA from 1 species